rnacentral:rRNA from 1 species
ACUUUCAACAACGGAUCUCUUGGCUCUCGCAUCGAUGAAGAACGCAGCGAAAUGCGAUAAGUAAUGUGAAUUGCAGAAUUCAGUGAAUCAUCGAAUCUUUGAACGCACCUUGCGCCCCUUGGUAUUCCGAGGGGCACGCCUGUUCGAGUGUCGUGAAAU